rnacentral:rRNA from 1 species
AGUGAACGCUGGCGGUAGGCCUAACACAUGCAAGUCGAACGGCAGCACAGGAGAGCUUGCUCUCUGGGUGGCGAGUGGCGGACGGGUGAGGAAUACAUCGGAAUCUACUCUGUCGUGGGGGAUAACGUAGGGAAACUUACGCUAAUACCGCAUACGACCUACGGGUGAAAGCAGGGGAUCUUCGGACCUUGCGCGAUUGAAUGAGCCGAUGUCGGAUUAGCUAGUUGGCGGGGUAAAAGCCCACCAAGGCGACGAUCCGUAGCUGGUCUGAGAGGAUGAUCAGCCACACUGGAACUGAGACACGGUCCAGACUCCUACGGGAGGCAGCAGUGGGGAAUAUUGGACAAUGGGCGCAAGCCUGAUCCAGCCAUACCGCGUGGGUGAAGAAGGCCUUCGGGUUGUAAAGCCCUUUUGUUGGGAAAGAAAUCCAGCUGGCUAAUACCCGGUUGGGAUGACGGUACCCAAAGAAUAAGCACCGGCUAACUUCGUGCCAGCAGCCGCUGUAA